rnacentral:lncRNA from 1 species
GUGUAAUGUGUGCCUGUGUCCCUCUGCGAAUGCUUGCUUGUACCUUUUUAUGUGUGUGUGUAUUUGGGUGUGCAUGUGUGCGCUGUGUGUGCAUGUGUUGCUGUGUGCUGCUGUGUGGGCGUGGGCGUGUUCGUGAUCAAUGUGUGGGUGCGUGUGUGCCUGUCUGUAGUAUCUUUGUGUGCUUCUGUGUAUUGUGUGCACCUGGGCAUGUCAGUGUGCGAAUGUGUAAUCCUCUGUGAGUGUGUGUGCAUACAUGGCUUGAGCAUGCAUUUUUUUUCUAUGUAUGUGUGUGUAACUGCAUGUGUUCUGACAUCUGUGGACAUAUGCGUAACUUAGUGUGAACACAUGCUUUUGUCUUGCACAUGCGUGUAUGUGUGCAUGUGUGUACACAUGCAUGCUUAUGUAUGAGUGCACAGAUAUACUCUUAAGAGGAUUGGUGGUAUACAUGAAUGUGUGAGCUUGGAAGUUUGGUGGGCACUCAAGAAGCAUGAGUAUUUGUGUGUGCCACCAUCCCAGGGUUUUGCAUUUGUCCAUACUACACAGUGGUGUGUUUUUUGUAUGUGUAUGGAGUGUGUGCAUGCAGAAAUGUAUGCCCUGAUUCAGAACUGUUGUGAACAGGCACUUGGAUGUGGAGUGAAGCUUUCUCUAUGUAUUUGUAGGUGCAUAUAUGAAUUUGUAUGAACAUGUAUUUAUCUGCAUAUGGAUUAUAUAUGUCCAGUAGUACAGCAGAGCCAUAGGAAUAGAACUAGAGGAACAUGGAAGAGUCAUGAUUCAUUCCUAAGGCAUUCAAUCCUAAGAUGUGAAAGAGGAAAUUUGCAUUACAAGUGUUCACCCGUGGUUACAAGGGGAGUAGUAUGUGCCUGUCCUCCACCCUCAUUUACUUCCCUGCUCUGUUUCAGUGGGACCAUCAGCCUUUAUUAGAGACUGGCCUCACAAAUGGCUUCCUGUACUUGUCUUUCUAACUGCAAGACUGUGUGUAGCUGCUGUGGGGACAAAUUCUACAAACAGCUUUGUCUUGCUCCCAUGUCAGCAUUUCUCUGAGUUGUUUAUAACCCUGAAGCCUGGGCUGUGUGUCCUGUCUCCUACCAUGCCAUCCAUGCUUGUACUUCUGCUUCUACAGUCACAGUGUACAAGUAUAAGUAAAAAUAAAACAGAAUAUAGCACCACUCACUAGAAAAGCAGAUGUUAUAUAAAAAAAAAAAAAUAAAAAAAAAAGUCCAGGCAAGCUGAUGCAAGUGACAUGAAGUAAACCUUGCAAACACUAAUCCUGAGGCUCUGAGAGUAAGUACACAACUACAGUCUGUUACUACCAAUGACGUUCCUGUGCAUACUGGGCUACUGGGGUAAAAAGUCCUAUGCAAACAUAAAUUACAAACCAUACCUGAUAGUAUUCAAGGUAAAAUCAAUUUCAAAGUUAACAAAGGAGACAGAAAACCUGGAAACACUGAACAACAGUGCUCAUGGACCAACCCUGGAGACCCUCAUGGAGAGAGUCGAACUACUGGCAAUUGGGAAUAUGAUGAUUUACUGUGAUGCCCUGCUGUACUUUUAUAACUAUUGUAUUCCGAUUCAUAUUGUAAUGGCACUGAGUAUAAAUUCUAGACAUCUCACAUAAAGUAUGUUCUUUUCAUGCAUUUAAUGAUGUUUUGAGUGCAACACUCAUUUUUUCAAACAAGAAAAAGAAAAUAUUGAUCAUUUAUUUGACUGGAUUUUUUCAGUGAUUAUUCUAUCAUUUUUAGUGCUUACUACAUCAAAAACCUUUUGCAGCAUCUUUCUAAGUCUGCAAUAAUAAGUAAGAUUUAAUCAUAAUCUACUACUUCCAAGUAAGAAUUAGUAUUCAUCAGCUGUUGGGACCUAGUUUUUGACACUUUGAAUUCAACCAUCUAGAGAACACAACCAAUCUCUGAAUUCAGCUCUGUAUUUGUGCUCUGUCUUAUUAUAAACUAAGUUGAAUUAUAUAUUUUAUAUGUAUCCUACUGUACAGUGUGGAAGUCAGAAAUGAUGCCUUCUUAAGGAAUUAUUUUCAGUUGAUUUUGUCAUGUUUGCCUUCAUAAGAAGAAAUAUAAUCAGCAAAUUAAUUGAGAGAUGUCCAAAAUAAAAUAUUUUUAAAUUUGUGCAUUGUCUGAUUACACCUUGAAAGUCUAAAGCAAGGAAGAUCAAAUACAAACACCAGAGGCCACAGAAUAACACUAGUAAGAGACAAUUACUACAUCAAGAGACAGCAUUGAUUAUUACAUUUGCCUUCACUUUUAUAAAUUAGUCUCCUUCAUUUUAUAUAUAUUUAUCUUACGUACAAAAAAGUGAAAUGGAAAAUUAAGAUUGAAUACAACUGUCUGUGGAGAAGGUUGGGCAGAGAGGUUGUAAACUUUUCCUCCAUGGAAGAUUUCUAGGCCAGGCCUGGGCUGUUUGAUCUGAUCCUGUGGCUGGUCCUGUCCUGCGAAUGAGGAUGUGCUGGAUAUCUCCAGAGGUCCUUUCCAGUCCCAGCAGGAAACAUACUGGAGCAAGGCAGGCUACUGGGCAAGAAGGGAAAACAGAUUUCAGUCUCUCUGUCAUCAUGUGGGCAGAUGCUUAUUGUGUGGUGGUUCUCUUUAGCCUAUACAUGAUAUAUCAGUUCAGUCUGUAACCUCCUUGAAACAUGGAAUGUGCCUGUUGCCAUUGCACAUCUCCUAGUUUGAUGGGACUAAGAAGCAGGGACUAUUACAAACCAAAUGAAUACAAUACAUUGUUAAGCAGAUAUUAAAUGACUAUUUGGGGAAUAAAUGUUUUUGCAUUGUGAUUCAUAGCAAAUUCUGCCUGUACAAAGUUGUGGUUAUUCCCUCCCAGUUGUAGGACUGUACAUUUGAUCUCGUUGAACCUCAUAAUGUUCCUCUCUACCCAACACUCACCUUGUCCAGGUCCCACUGAAUGGUAUCACAGCCUUCUGGCAUGUUGGACGUUCUUCCCAACUUUGCAUCAUCAGCAAAUUUGCUGAGGGUGCACUCUAUCUUUUCAUCCAGGUCAUUGAUGAAUAUUGUUGAUGUUGUAAUUCAUAAACAAUAUUAUACAUGUGACACAUACAAACUUCCCUCUUUUAGUUUGGAAACGGUUUGACUCUCGUUCAUGGACUGGUAUACUGGCUUUGUAUUCCUGCAGUGCCUGAUUGUUAUCAAAAGAUUUAGAUUGCUUUAUCUCUUAUUUCCACCUAUAUAAACCUUUAUGCUUCUUUUCUUUUUGUCUGCUGGCUGUUACACAGUGCUCAAUGAUGGUACUCUGGUAGGUUAUUUGAUGUAUAGCAGGUGGUUUGGUUUCCAGGUUGUACUUUUGAGUCUGCUUUUCAAUAGUUAUUCACCAUUAAAUGCAACUGAAUAAGA